UACAGAGGUCUCAACCGUUGUUCGGAUUCAUUGGGCGUAAAGGGUGCGUAGGCGGCGCGGUAAGUCGGGUGUGAAAUCUCGGAGCUUAACUCCGAAACUGCAUUCGAUACUGCCGUGCUUGAGGACUGGAGAGGAGACUGGAAUUUACGGUGUAGCGGUGAAAUGCGUAGAUAUCGUAAGGAAGACCAGUGGCGAAGGCGGGUCUCUGGACAGUUCCUGACGCUGAGGCACGAAGGUCAGGGGAGCAAACGGG
rnacentral:rRNA from 1 species